AACGCACAUUGCGCCCACCAGUACUCUGGUGGGCAUGCCUGUCCGAGCGUCAUUUCAACCCUCAGGGCCCGUUCGCGGGACCUGGUGUUGGGGAUCGGCCCCACCGGCCGGCCCCGAAAUACAGUGGCGGCACACCCGCGACCUCCUCUGCGUAGUAGCAAUGCCUCGCAGCUGGAUAGCGGUUGCGCCUCGCCGUAAAACCCCCCACUUCUCAAUGGUUGACCUCGGAUCAGGUAGGAAUACCCGCUGAACUUAA
rnacentral:misc_RNA from 2 species